GGCCUCCUCCCUCUAUGACAUCAGCCCACUUCAUUUUCUUUAGUACACUUCCUCUAAAAUGGUCUUGUUUUGCUAGUUUGUUUACCUGUUUACUAUCUGUCUCCCUACUAGAACAUAAGGUUCUCAAGGGCAGCCACUGCUGCCUUGUUCACAGCUGUCCUCUCAGGGCCACCAACGGGCACCUGGCAUACACAAGGUGCUUAAUAAGUGUUGGAUGAAUGAGCGAACUCUGUUAUUCCAGGACUUCACUACAGGAAGCCGUAAAGUUUGGGAGGGGGCUGUGGACAGAGGUGGCCUGUUUCUGGCGUGGGCUCCUCUAUGUGGCCCCGUCCCCCAAAGGUUGGACCUGCCACGUGGAACCCAGGAAGUCCCAGCGAUUGGGGCAGAACACCAAAAAGCCGAGCCCCAUCUGACGGGGAGAAGAAACCCCUGCAUGCACGUCGUGUCCUGUUGGAACUCCAGCACAGGUGAGCGACGGCAGACCUCAACCACUGUGGAGUGACCGGCACGCCUCGGCCCGGCUCCUGGCCGCCAGGGGCCUGUGGGCACACCGACAACACACCUGCAGGUCUGGCUGCCCUGGCGGCCCCCCCACCCCCUCCUUCUUCAAACAACAGGAGCCAAGUCUUCCUCUUGGGGACGGGCCCUCCCCCACUCUCAGGUCACAUGCCCAAGUGGGCUGACCCUACCUUCUUAGGGGGCUGGGCAGCUGAGGACACUAACUCAGCCCAGGCCAGUGGGAGGGUUUUACCUCCCCGGGUACAGCGGCUACAAGGCUAAAAGUGCUGCACCCAUUUUGCCUGCCUCGGAAUGAACGAAGAGACCGAGAUCUGGGGCUGGGCCUCUUCAUGAUCUGAGCAGAUAUGCUCUUUCCUUCUUCAGCCACCUGGAAGGGAGUCUGGGCCGGCUGCACCCCUCCUAGCUCAUCCUGCGCUGUCUUCCAUUGCUGCCCCCCUACUCCUGGAACCCCCGCCCGCACUCUCUCAUUUUACUUUCCAUGCCUGGAACAGCUUUCUCCACUUCGUACACCUCGUCAGCUCCUACUUGUCCGGGCUCAGAACCAGGCCCAGAGGCCGGAAGCGCUGAGAAGGCAGAUGCCACCUCCGCCUUAAGGACGGUCCCCCACGGGAACGCUGAAGGGGGCAUGUGAACACAGUGACAGACAGAUGCGCACAGAGAGAAGAUGGCCACAUGACCACGGAGCCAGAGGUCGGAGCGAUCCAGCUACAAGAAUGCCAAGGGCUUCGGGUACUACAAGAAGCUAAAAGAAGCAAAGAGGGAUUGUCUUUCGAGCCACCCAGUUUGUGGGGCUUUGUCAUGACAGCCCCAGGAAACGAAUACAGCCACUAACUCAUCAUUCAGUGUGCACCCAGUCUCCAGAGUGGCCGGAGAGGCCACGGCAUUCCCUGACCCAGUGGCCACAGGCCUCUUUUCUGAAAGAGAGUCUCUUACUGGAUAAGCACGUUAUCGGGCGCUAGUUCAGAGUCUCAGCCUUUCCCUUUUGUGCCCACAUGGGGCCCCUUCCAUGGGGGAGAUUCCUGGUUUCCUCAGCCGUAACCUGGGAGGAACUCCCAGCGACAUAGACGGAGAGCACUUAGCCGGGCACUCCAUCACACGGGGGAUGUUCUCCCUCUGAGCCUCGCUUUACCCCACUGAGACAUGGGUGCAGCAUCCCGCAAGGCUUCCUAGGGCUGCUGGGAACUGCCUGGCACAUGACCAGUGGUCCUAACGGUUGGUCCCCUGCACACGGGGCUUCUGCACGUCCCCGCUGGAGGGCGUGUGCCCCCUCCCGGGGCGGCCCUUACCUGUGCUGUGAGCUGGAUGGGCUGGGACAGGGUGAGCUGUGGGGUCCCGGGGGGCUGGCUGGCAGGCUGUGGUGGCGGCAGGUCGCCUCCCCCAGAGGAGGCAGGGGGCUGCGAGGUCGAGGAGG